UACGGGGGGGGCAAGCGUUGUUCGGAAUUACUGGGCGUAAAGGGCUCGUAGGCGGCCAACUAAGUCGGAUGUGAAAUCCCCAAGCUUAACUUGGGAACUGCAUCCGAUACUGGAUGGCUUGAAUCCGGGAGAGGGAUGCAGAAUUCCAAGUGUAGCGGUGAAAUGCGUAGAUAUCUGGAGGAAUACCGGUGGCGAAGGCGGCAUCCUGGACCGGCAUUGACGCUGAGGAGCGAAAGCUAGGGGAGCAAACGGG
rnacentral:rRNA from 1 species